rnacentral:lncRNA from 1 species
CUCUUUUUUGUGUUCAUGGAGUUUGGUGUGAGUAGCUAAACAGCACUACAGCUAACAGUCGCAUUUUUACUUCUAUACAACAAAGGCUCUCAGCGAGGCUGCUGAAUCAUUCGGCGGGGGCUGCCCAUUGGGUUCGGACGCUGCGCGGGUUUAUCCCAGUAUUUUGCUGAUUGCAGGAUUGGUCUGACAGCGUUCUUGGGAGAUUUCAAGCCCAGGUUCCUCACCAUCGACUCUUCAUCGUUCAGAAACCCUGUCCCAGAAGAACACAAUCAAAUAAAUAGCUAUUAAGCUUGAUCACACAUAGUUGCUGUUUUAUGAUGGAAGAGAUGCGAUGGAUUACCAUAGUCAAUUAUUCCUUUCUUCAG